UGUUCUUUGCAGCUUUAAUUUCUGUGCAUUUUGCUAGCCAUUUCCACUUUACCCUGAGCAUAGAGACAGAUCUUAUUCAUCAGCCUCUAGCAAGGUGCUUUGCAUGUAGCAGGCACUUAAUAAAUGUUUGUUGAAUUGAAUUGACUUGGAUCUUUUUGCUAGUUUUUCCCACAGCUCCAAGUGGCCUUUCACUCUGAAUGUUACAUCUCUUUGAAAUACCUGAAUAUAAAUUCAGCCUGGAUAAGUAGAUGUUGUGCAAGCAGCUGCAAAUAAAGACCUACAGUUAGAAAAGAUUUAAAAUCAGUCUUUUUGAUUCAGACAAAAACCCUCUGACCAAGGGUAUUCUUGGAUCUGGACAAUGAAAGAAGACAAUUUAUUUCAUCUACCUGCUGAAGCCAUAAUGCUCAACUCAUAUUCAGGAGAAAUUCAGUUUGAGGCACAACUGACUAAAGAGAAAAUGAUCCCUUUCCAGGAUGAAAUCAAAUUCAUAUAUACCCCAAAUUCUUGAGGAACAGAGAGAAGGGAGGGAUCCUGGGUCAUAUGUAAAUAAAUAUUAUUAAAUAAAGUCUUUGUUACCUCAUAUAAAAACUAUUGCAAAAGUUUUCAAAUGCAUUUCCCUGACUUCAUUAAUUCUUCCUUUAAUCCAGGCAUUUGUCCUUGAGUUAAGAAUUUUUACUUUUUGUUUUUAAAGAAUUGUAUUUAAAAAAAUAUAAAAACAAUUCUUCCAAGCUGUACAGAAAUGGAUGGUAGAAAUAUUUGGCUUCCAGACUUUGCUGAAACCUGUCUAAUCUGUCCUAUCUAGUGUUGACAGCCUUUUAUAUUACAUUUAUUAUAUUAAUAUUAUAUUUUUAAAAAUAAAAUUUUGAUGAUAAUUUUUUGUCUUAACUAAUAUACAUUUUCCAAUGUAUUUGAUACUUCUUUCUUCCCAAGGAGCUAUCCCUUAUAAUAAAGAAUUAAAAAGAAACAUGUUCAUUGAAACUAAACUAUCUAUAUUAUAUAUAUAUAUAUAUAUGUAUAGGAGGCUUGUUCCAUCUCUCUAAGAUAGGAGUAGAAUCCCAAUAAGUAAUUCCAGGGCUACUCAGAGACCCCAGUGGUAACUAUAUAGAGAAGGGGGCAUCAAGGCAACUAGGUAGUACAGUGGAUAGAGCACUAGAAUCAGGAGGAACUGAGUUCAAAUUUGGCCUCAUAUACUUGACACUUAUUAGCUGUGUGAUCCUGGGCAAGUAACUUGAUCCCAAUUGCCUUGGGGGAAAAAAGCAUCACUGGUA
rnacentral:lncRNA from 1 species